GCCACUAGAUGACCCGCCCCCUCGGGCUGUCGGGGGGUCGAGACAGUGGAGUGUUCCUGAUGCCAGCUCACGGAGGGAAUCCAGGGAAUUAGCUGAUGCCAAGAGCCUCUUUUUGGCCAGCACUUACUAAGCACCAGAGACACAGCGAGAAGCAGAAGCAUACGAGCACAUCAGUGUGAUUCUGCUGUGAUGAAGGGCAAGAGAGGGCUCACUUUCCGGCGUGACAUUCAAGCUAGCCCCGAGGCCUGAGCAGGACCCGCCCAGGGGAAGAUCUGGAGGAAAGCCAUCUGAACAUACAACAAGAGCAAAGGCCUGGUGGAGUCAAGACCACCUUGGCUGCCAGGUGGAAUGGUGGAAUAACUCAGGAGUCUGUCAGGUCUCUGAGAUGUCAAACGGGUAAGGCCUUGUAGGAAGUAGGCGUUUGAAUGAGAUCAUAAUUUGAGAGCCACAGACAGAAAAAUAAAUUUGAAAGAGUUCACUCA
ensembl:lncRNA PRKAR2A-AS1 PRKAR2A antisense RNA 1